rnacentral:misc_RNA from 1 species
UACUUUUGUUUAAUUUUUGAUAAUUGAUAGUUUUCUUGGGUUGCCUUCCACAAUUAAGACACCGGUUUAUGAAUUGAAAGAUUGCAUUUUAUUUAUUAGGUUAAAUUUAUUUCUUCUUUUUCCCCCUUAUAUUUGGGGGGGAUGCUAGUUAAGGUAACUAGGUAAGGGCAUCAGCAGCUGUGUUAUUUUUUAUGGUUUGAAUUUUGGAUAUGUUUUUCA